UGACCUUUACAGAGCAUUUUGUUUGGAA
rnacentral:sRNA from 1 species